ensembl:snRNA U6 U6 spliceosomal RNA
GUGCUCGCUUCGGCAGCACGUUUACUAAAAUUGGAACAAUACAGAGAAGAUUAGCAUGUCCCCUGCACAAGGAUGACACGCAAAUUCGUGAAGCAUUCCAUAUUAAA